rnacentral:rRNA from 1 species
AUGAGAACAAUGCAUCCGGAGAUGAUGAAAAUGUCCACUGUAGCUCGUGAUGCUGCCAAUAGGGAGAAGAACCGCUAUAUUGAUGUCUUACCAUUUGAUGAUACCAGGGUACGGCUAAAAUCAUCAGCAACCAGUCAAAUUUCAGGCAAUGAUUACAUCAAUGCAAGCUUUGUAAAGGCUACCGAGGACAACAGUGUUGCAAGAUUUAUUUCCACCCAAGGACCACUAGUAAGGACAUUUGAGGAUUUUUGGGAAAUGGUUUGUGAAAAUCAGUGUCCUGUGAUUGUUAUGCUCACACAGUUCGACAGUGUUAAGUGUGAUGAGUAUCUUCCAUUGCAAAAUGGUCAAGGGACGUAUGGAAAGUAUAAUGUUAAGAUUACGAAGGACACAAGAGAUAAGCAUCAAUUAUGUCUGCGUGCUGUGGAGGUGCAGUGCAAUGAGUCAGGCAAGGUUCAUUCUGUACUCCAUAUAGAGUAUCCUGAUUGGCCCGACCAUGGCGUACCAACAAGCACUGAUGCUGUGCGACAAAUUCAAAAACGGUUACAUCACAUUCCGAGAGAACAUCCUAUAGUUGCACAUUGCAGUGCAGGAAUUGGGAGAACUGGUGCUUACAUCACCAUCCAUAGUUCAAUUGAGGGAAUUCUCCUUGGAGACACAAGCUCUUAUGAUCUUGUUGAAACUGUAAAAAAAUUUAGGUCCCAGCGAACUGGAAUGGUUCAAACUGAGCAACAAUACAUGUUCUGCUACCGUGCAAUUGCGAAUGAGCUGAAAGAUCUGCUGAGGUCGUCAGGCCGUUGA